UCUUUGGUUAUCUAGCUGUAUGAGUGUCUAUAAUAUCAUAAAGCUAGCGAACCGAAUGUA
rnacentral:pre_miRNA from 1 species